GUCGAACGCUGGCGGCGUGCCUAAUACAUGCAAGUCGAACGCAGUGGGGACGGGUGAGUAACACGUGGGUAACCUCCCAUCAGAGGGGAUAACACUUGGAUACAGGUGCUAAACCGAUACUGAUGGAUGGACCCGCGGGGCAUUAGCCAGUUGGUGAGGGAACGGCUCACCAAGGCCACGAUGCAUAGCUGGACUGAGAGGGGGGUCGGCCACACUGGGACUGAGACACGGCCCAGACUCCUACGGGAGGCAGCAGUAGGGGAUCUUCGGCAAUGGGCGAAAGUCUGACGGAGCAACGCCGCGUGUGUGAAGAAGGUUUUAGGAUCGUAAAACUCUGUUGUUAGAGAAGCGUUAUCUGACCAGAAAGCCACGGCUAACUACGUGCCAGCAGCCGCGGGAAUAC
rnacentral:rRNA from 1 species